UACGUAGGGGGCAAGCGUUGUCCGGAUUUAUUGGGCGUAAAGAGCGUGUAGGCGGCCAGAUAGGUCCGUUGUGAAAACUCGAGGCUUAACCUCGAGACGUCGGUGGAAACUGCCUGGCUAGAGUCCGGAAGAGGAGAGUGGAAUUCCUGGUGUAGCGGUGAAAUUCGUAGAUAUCAGGAGGAACACCAAUGGCGAAGGCAGCUCGCUGGAACGGAACUGACGCUGAGGCGCGAAAGCGUGGGGAGCGAACAGG
rnacentral:rRNA from 1 species